AUUGAACGCUGGCGGCAUGCUUUACACAUGCAAGUCGAACGGUAACAGGCCGCAAGGUGCUGACGAGUGGCGAACGGGUGAGUAAUGCAUCGGAACGUGCCCAGUCGUGGGGGAUAACGCAGCGAAAGCUGCGCUAAUACCGCAUACGAUCUAUGGAUGAAAGCGGGGGACCGUAAGGCCUCGCGCGAUUGGAGCGGCCGAUGUCAGAUUAGGUAGUUGGUGGGGUAAAGGCCCACCAAGCCAACGAUCUGUAGCUGGUCUGAGAGGACGACCAGCCACACUGGGACUGAGACACGGCCCAGACUCCUACGGGAGGCAGCAGUGGGGAAUUUUGGACAAUGGGCGCAAGCCUGAUCCAGCAAUGCCGCGUGCAGGAAGAAGGCCUUCGGGUUGUAAACUGCUUUUGUACGGAACGAAACGGUUCUCUCUAAUACAGGGGGCUAAUGACGGUACCGUAAGAAUAAGCACCGGCUAACUACGUG
rnacentral:rRNA from 1 species